rnacentral:rRNA from 1 species
AUGAACGCUAGCGACAGGCUAACACAUGCAAGUCGAGGGGCAGCAUAGAAGUAGCAAUACUCGGUGGCGACCGGCGCACGGGUGAGUAACGCGUAUGCAACCUACCUAUCGAGAGGGGAAUAACCCGGCGAAAGUCGGACUAAUACCGCAUAAAACAGGGGCACCGCAUGGUGAUAUUUGUUAAAGAAAUUCGCUGAUAGAUGGGCAUGCGUUCCAUUAGGUAGUUGGUGAGGUAACGGCUCACCAAGCCGACGAUGGAUAGGGGAACUGAGAGGUUGGUCCCCCACACUGGUACUGAGACACGGACCAGACUCCUACGGGAGGCAGCAGUGAGGAAUAUUGGUCAAUGGACGAGAGUCUGAACCAGCCAAGUCGCGUGCAGGAAGAAUGUCCUUAAUGGAUUGUAAACUGCUUUUGCAGGGGAAUAAAGUGCAUCACGUGUGAUGUUUUGUAUGUACUCUGCGAAUAAGGAUCGGCUAACUCCGUGCCAGCAGCCGC